rnacentral:rRNA from 1 species
GUCUACAGUCAUACCACUCUGAAUGCACCAAAUCUCUGAUCUUGGAAGCUAAACAUGGUUGAGCCUGAUUAGUACCUGGCAGAAAACUCUAAAAACUCCAACAAUUAGAUU